rnacentral:lncRNA from 1 species
GGGUCCCCGCCCCCUUUCUGUUUUUAUAGUAUUAUGCCAUGAGAGGGCAGUAUUGUAGAGGUUAAUGUUCCCUUCUCAAAUGUACUGCGAACAAGUUUAUAUUGUGUUAAUAAGCAAACUUCUUAGAUCUACAGUAUACUAAUUGUAAUCUUAACUGAUGCAUCCUUGCAGAUAUUUUAAAUUAAUAGAGAUAAUUUUGUCACAGGUUGCAUUUUACACCCAGAUCUCUUGAUUUGGGUUUGGCAAAGUGAAUUAUUUGUUCAGUGUGACCAUAGGGUGAGCCUGCAGUACUCCUUGGCUACUUAACUAUUUUUUAAUCACCAUCAUAUGCUCCUUUUGACUGAUUCUGGACACUGAAAAUGGGCAGACUACCUCCAAGGAGUUGUGUGCUUUGAAGGGUACUGGACUAUUUCAGUCUAAUAAGAUUGAGUCUUGGAAGAAUUGCCGCUUAACCUCAAAACUUGCCUUAGUGACUUGCUGAAAAUGGAUCUCUUUAGGAUCCAACCCAUGGACUGACUUUUCUAGUUAUAAAUGGAAAAAGGUAUAUUUAAUUCCUGGUGCUGUUGGGGAGAUAUGAUUUCAAGGCUGAUGGCUCUGGGGACAUUUGGGGAAGAUACCCUGGAUUUCAUUCUAUGGUUUCCUUUGACCCAAUUUUUUUUUGCCCAGCACAGAAAAUGUAGUGUUAGUUUCUAAAAGUAACGGAUAAAUUCGUGUGAAGGUACUAUUAUUCAAAAAGCAAAUGUAAUUUUAUUGGCAUUUAAAAAAUAUUCUUGCAGUAGGGUUAUUAUUCUUAUAAAUAAAACCCUCUAUAAAAUCAUCCCAUUACUGCUGCCUGUAAGAACCAGAUAAUUGAAAUCGAGAUGCUCCAGCUCCUGCAAGUCUUUAGUGGUGGGACUGGGCAUGCCCAGUAGAUCAGACGGUUCUUGUUGCAAAUAGGAAGCGUUGUCGGUUGAGCAGUCGCCGGGACCGGCCACUCCGGGGACCGGGGUCUGACUCCCCUUAAACGUAAGCAGUGCGGGGCAUCGAUCGUGUCUUCAGGGACCUAGACACUUUCUGUCCAUGCCGUGGCCAGGCAUUCCCAGGCCGUGGGGGCCUCCGCGGCCCGCGCCCCAGCUGCUCCCAGAACUGCUCGGCCAGCCCACCCGAGGAGCUGAGCUGGAG